rnacentral:lncRNA from 1 species
GCCCAAUCCUAUGACUCAUCAGGACUUAAAAAAUCCCAGUUCCUGACAAUUGCCAUGAAGGAAAUGAUUAAACAAGAUAUUAAGAUGAUGUUUUCCUUCUGAGGCCAAGAGGUGACUCCAGCAGGAAUUCUGAAGAGCCA